CAGAAGGGAGCUUGCUCCCGGAUGUUAGCGGCGGACGGGUGAGUAACACGUGGGUAACCUGCCUGUAAGACUGGGAUAACUCCGGGAAACCGGAGCUAAUACCGGAUAGUUCCUUGAACCGCAUGGUUCAAGGAUGAAAGACGGUUUCGGCUGUCACUUACAGAUGGACCCGCGGCGCAUUAGCUAGUUGGUGGGGUAAUGGCUCACCAAGGCGACGAUGCGUAGCCGACCUGAGAGGGUGAUCGGCCACACUGGGACUGAGACACGGCCCAGACUCCUACGGGAGGCAGCAGUAGGGAAUCUUCCGCAAUGGACGAAAGUCUGACGGAGCAACGCCGCGUGAGUGAUGAAGGUUUUCGGAUCGUAAAGCUCUGUUGUUAGGGAAGAACAAGUGCGAGAGUAACUGCUCGCACCUUGACGGUACCUAACCAGAAAGCCACGGCUAACUACGUGCCAGCAGCCGCGGUAAUACGUAGGUGGCAAGCGUUGUCCGGAAUUAUUGGGCGUAAAGGGCUCGCAGGCGGUUUCUUAAGUCUGAUGUGAAAGCCCCCGGCUCAACCGGGGAGGGUCAUUGGAAACUGGGAAACUUGAGUGCAGAAGAGGAGAGUGGAAUUCCACGUGUAGCGGUGAAAUGCGUAGAGAUGUGGAGGAACACCAGUGGCGAAGGCGACUCUCUGGUCUGUAACUGACGCUGAGGAGCGAAAGCGUGGGGAGCGAACAGGAUUAGAUACCCUGGUAGUCCACGCCGUAAACGA
rnacentral:rRNA from 1 species